rnacentral:rRNA from 1 species
UGCGUAGGGGGCUAGCGUUGUCCGGAAUCAUUGGGCGUAAAGCGCGUGUAGGCGGCCCGGUAAGUCCGCUGUGAAAGUCGGGGGCUCAACCCUCGGAUGCCGGUGGAUACUGUCGGGCUCGAGUACGGAAGAGGCGAGUGGAAUUCCUGGUGUAGCGGUGAAAUGCGCAGAUAUCAGGAGGAACACCAAUUGCGAAGGCAGCUCGCUGGGACGUGACUGACGCUGAGACGCGAAAGCGUGGGGAGCAAACAGG